rfam:Marine Group III euryarchaeote CG-Epi2 CG-Epi2-C27, whole genome shotgun sequence.
GCCGGGGUGGCUCAGCCUGGUAGAGCGUCGGACUCAUAGGGUAAGAAUAGUUCCGGCUAUGCCUGGGACAUCCGAAGGCCGCGGGUUCGAACCCCGCCCCCGGCA